AUAAUGGAGAUAUUACCUUAACGGCGGUUUAUACGCACGACUAUACAAUAUGGUACAUUGGGUAUUACGACAGUAUCUAGUGUUUGUCCAAUAUCGACCUUAAAGUUUGUAAUGUUGUACUAUAUUGUUGUUAUAAACAUUACCGAUAGAGAGCGUUUACUAUAAACGUAGAAAUAUUUAAAUCCAGUUGAGAUAAACAAUCCGGUGAUAUAAACGUUACAGAAAUAUUUCGGGGACAUUUUUCGGCCUUUUCGAUAAUAAAAAUUACGCGACACUAUAACGCGUAGUAAAAUAAGGAGCUAUUUUUUGUAGUAAGUUUCGAUUUCGGAAAAAAUCAAGAGAGGGAGAGGAGUUACUUGACGCGUAAAGAUAACAUGAUAAAAGAUGGGGUGAAUCGGCAGAAUAUUUUCGUAGAGGUACAGGACGAGGAGAAAAAUGGAAUAAGCUUUUUCAGUGUAAAUUUCUGGAUCAGAGAAUAACUGGCAGACGAUAACUUACGAGGUGCUGCGAAUGAAAGCUAAAUGCAUGAAUGCGCGCGGAUGCAUGUUCACACUCAGAAUAUAUUGUGCUUAGAACUUUGAUGUAUAGGAAACAAGAAACGCUCCAUCUGUAACAGGCGAUAAUUUUACAUAGAAACUUUAUCGUCUGCAAAACAAGACGAAUGUCUAAAAAGCGUGCAUUUCCGUUGGCGUUUUUGGGAUUUAUAAGCAAUUUUUGUUCUCAUAGAUUAUGACUUUAUUGAUUAUGGAAUAUUGUAAUGUAAGAAA